rnacentral:rRNA from 1 species
GGCGAGUGAGCGGCAACAGCUCAAAUUUGAAAGCUAGCCUUCGGGUUCGCAUUGUAAUUUGUAGAGGAUGAUUUGGGGAAGCCGCCUGUCUAAGUUCCUUGGAACAGGACGUCAUAGAGGGUGAGAAUCCCGUAUGUGACAGGAAAUGGCACCCUAUGUAAAUCUCCUUCGACGAGUCGAGUUGUUUGGGAAUGCAGCUCUAAAUGGGAGGUAAAUUUCUUCUAAAGCUAAAUAUUGGCGAGAGACCGAUAGCGCACAAGUAGAGUGAUCGAAAGAUGAAAAGCACUUUGGAAAGAGAGUUAAAAAGCACGUGAAAUUGUUGAAAGGGAAGCGCUUGCAAUCAGACUUGUUUAAACUGUUCGGCCGGUCUUCUGACCGGUUUACUCAGUUUGGACAGGCCAGCAUCAGUUUCGGCGGCCGGAUAAAGGCUCUGGGAAUGUGGCCUCCACUUCGGUGGAGGUGUUAUAGCCCAGGGUGUAAUACGGCCAGCCGGGACUGAGGUCCGCGCUUCGGCUAGGAUGCUGGCGUAAUGGUUGUAAGCGACCCGUCUUGAAACACG